CCUACGGGCGGCAGCAGUGGGGAAUAUUGCACAAUGGGGGAAACCCUGAUGCAGCGACGCCGCGUGAGCGAUGAAGUUCUUCGGUAUGUAAAGCUCUAUCAGCAGGGAAGAAAAUGACGGUACCUGACUAAGAAGCCCCGGCUAACUACGUGCCAGCAGCCGCGGUAAUACGCAGGGGGCAAGCGUUAGCCGGAUUUACUGGGUGUAAAGGGAGCGUAGACGGCGGUGCAAGUCAGAUGUGAAAGCCCGGGGCGCAACCCCGGGACUGCAUUUGGAACUGUGCUGCUAGAGUGUCGGAGAGGAGAGCGGAAUUCCAAGUGUAGCGGUGAAAUGCGUAGAUAUUAGGAGGAACACCAGUGGCGAAGGCGGCCAGCUGGACGAUGACUGACGUUGAGGCUCGAAAGCGUGGGGAGCAAACAGGAUUAGAUACCCCGGUAGUC
rnacentral:rRNA from 1 species